AGAUUUUAGUUAAAUAUAUAAUAGUAGUUUGUCAGACUAUAGUUACUUUAUAAGUAAAUCUUAU
rnacentral:tRNA from 1 species